AAACACGCUGGCGGCGUGCCUAACACAUGCAAGUCGCACGAGAAAGUGGAGCAAUCCAUGAGUAAAGUGGCGCACGGGUGAGUAACACGUGAAUGAUCUACCUCCGAGUGGGGAAUAACCUAGAGAAAUCUGGGCUAAUACCGCAUAACACUUACGAGUCAAAGCAGCAAUGCGCUUGGAGAGGAGUUCGCGGCCGAUUAGUUAGUUGGCGGGGUAAUGGCCCACCAAGACGAUGAUCGGUAUCCGGCCUGAGAGGGCGCACGGACACACUGGAACUGAAACACGGUCCAGACUCCUACGGGAGGCAGCAGUGGGGAAUUUUGCGCAAUGGGGGAAACCCUGACGCAGCAACGCCGCGUGGAGGAUGAAAUCCCUUGGGAUGUAAACUCCUUUCGAUCGGGACGAUUAUGACGGUACCGGAAGAAGAAGCCCCGGCUAACUUCGUGCCAGC
rnacentral:rRNA from 1 species